GCCUGAUAACGAAGCACCUGCUUGGAGGCGCCAGGUUUGGCCCUAGAUAGAAUGGUCAGUGAUUGCAUCUUUGUGACGCUCUAGUUGGUAACUGGGCUCGUGCCCAAAUUCCCAGGUAUUUAUACCUGCAAGUGUGAGGACUCAGUUCCUGGGAUGAUGUACGAGACCUUGCUGUUUGGUGAUCGUGAGACCCUGGAUCUGCAUGGCCGUGGAAAUGAGCAGGGGUGUAUUAGUGAGUACACGCAUAAGUAACGUGUGUGUUCAUGCAGUUGUGAGUUACAAGUUCACUGAAUCACAGGCUGCUUACUGAGAUGAUCUGGUUGCUCAGGUCCGGGCUUGCCUGCCAAGUUAGGAAAGUAGAAGGGAAAGGCAUGGCCCCGCCCAGAAUAAAGCAGUUGUCUGGGCCUGCA
ensembl:antisense Gm16343 predicted gene 16343